rnacentral:rRNA from 1 species
UACGAAGGGGGCUAGCGUUGUUCGGAAUCACUGGGCGUAAAGGGCGCGUAGGCGGCCUGAUAAGUAGGGGGUGAAAUCCUGCGGCUUAACCGCAGGGCUGCCUUCUAAACUGUCAGGCUAGAGCACAGUAGGGGCAGGUGGAAUUCCCGGUGUAGCGGUGGAAUGCGUAGAGAUCGGGAAGAACAUCAGUGGCGAAGGCGGCCUGCUGGGCUGUUGCUGACGCUGAGGCGCGACAGCGUGGGGAGCAAACAGG